GCAGGCAGAGAUUAGUUUUUUUUCUUUUUUUUUUCUUUUUUUUCAUUUUUUUUACUGCGUAUCUUUUUGAAAAUAAAUAUGCUAUGAUGCACAUGAUGCAGACAUGACUGGCUGGCCGUGCAUCUCUGAAUCACAAGGUCGAAGCUUCAGUCUAAACUCAGAACCCAAAUCCAACUUGAAAACCCAAGGUCAACUGAGAC
rnacentral:lncRNA from 1 species